rnacentral:rRNA from 1 species
UUGAUGUGUAGGAUAGGUGGGAGGCUUAGAAGUGUGGACGCCAGUCUGCAUGGAGCCGACCUUGAAAUACCACCCUUUAAUGUUUGAUGUUCUAACGUUGACCCGUAAUCCGGGUUGCGGACAGUGUCUGGUGGGUAGUUUGACUGGGGCGGUCUCCUCCUAAAGAGUAACGGAGGAGCACGAAGGUUGGCUAAUCCUGGUCGGACAUCAGGAGGUUAGUGCAAUGGCAUAAGCCAGCUUGACUGCGAGCGUGACGGCGCGAGCAGGUGCGAAAGCAGGUCAUAGUGAUCCGGUGGUUCUGAAUGGAAGGGCCAUCGCUCAACGGAUAAAAGGUACUCCGGGGAUAACAGGCUGAUACCGCCCAAGAGUUCAUAUCGACGGCGGUGUUUGGCACCUCGAUGUCGGCUCAUCACAUCCUGGGGCUGAAGUAGGUCCCAAGGGUAUGGCUGUUCGCCAUUUAAAGUGGUACGCGAGCUGGGUUUAGAACGUCGUGAGACAGUUCGGUCCCUAUCUGCCGUGGGCGCUGGAGAACUGAGGGGGGCUGCUCCUAGUACGAGAGGACCGGAGUGGACGCAUCACUGGUGUUCGGGUUGUCAUGCCAAUGGCACUGCCCGGUAGCUAAAUGCGGAAGAGAUAAGUGCUGAAAGCAUCUAAGCACGAAACUUGCC